rnacentral:lncRNA from 1 species
AUAUUUCAAAUCACAUUUAGUAGUUAUUCCAUGGAAACUUUUUUUUUUUUAAAUAAACGAUCCGUUUUGUUUAAAAAAUGGCUCGAAGUCCAAAAUAAACAAAAACCAAUGCAAAAUAGUUGUCCAAGAACAAAAAAUCAGCAACAACAAAAUCAAGUAGAAAAUCCAAAGCAAACUCAUGAAAACCAAACACAAAAACAACAAGAAACAUCUUCCAAACCCAGCGAAAAUAGAAAACCCAAAACAGCCAAAAACCUCCAUAGCUGGCAAGCAGAGACACCAAAUAGGAGACUGGGUUGAGAUUCCUCAAGUAAGACCACAUUUCUCAACCAAGAACUUUGAGAGAAGAGAGGAGGGAACUACGGUGGUUGAUGAAAACGACGAUCCAGAUUGGCUAGUUCCAAAACCUUAAGCGAAGCAUCCUCAACCCAAAAAGAAUCUUCUGAGUGUUUCAUACCUUCAAAUGCCAUCGCAUGCGCAGCAGCAUUACCUUCUCUCGCUACGAAUUCGAAUCAACAGGAUGUGAAUCCUUUCAACAUGUUCUGUACAUUCCAUAGAAACUAAAUUCUCAUAACACAUUAUUAGAAAUUUUUAACACUUAAUAAUUAAGACUCAUUAAACCAUAACUUUAUAAGACUUAUUUCCAACAUUUAAUUCAUAAAAUUUGCACACAUACAUUUCAAUAUCAUUUUCAUAUUUAUUCACUAUUUAUUAUUUUUUUUCUAAACAUAAUAAGAUAAGAUAAGUACGAGUAUCCAAUUGUACUUACUUCUUGGAUUCAUAUUAUUUCAAAAUCAAGCUUCUAAACACAUGUUUCAUCCAUAUUCCAAAUUGAGACACCAAUAUCCAUCAUUCCUCAUUUCACAAACACAAGAAUACAACCAAAUAUUAAUAUCUAAGCUUUCUCAUAACAACCCAUAACAAAUAUCAAGUUAAUGAGGAUAGAAAACAUUAUUUCUUACCUUAAUGGAUAUUUCUCUCUCUAGCUUCAACUUUCUCUCUUAACAAACAACCAAACCCUUGCUGAAAAUAAAGAGAUCGAAAGUGGAAAUAAGCUUAGGAGGUAGUUUCUCAAGUGAUUUUAGCAAAAUCUCAAAGUUUGGGUAUUGAGUUUUUGAGAAAUUUCAAGAACAAACAAGAAAAAUGAAAGAGGGGAGAGUUUUCAUGGGAGAGGGCUGCCCUGCUGCUAUAUGCUAAUGGGGGUUGCGUUCUCAUCUUUUUCCCCUUUUUAAUCCAAUUAGAAAACACUAAACCCAAGCUAAAGUCAAAACACAUUUAAAUGUGUGGUCCACAAUUCAUCACACUAAAGUAUUAGCAUCCAAUAGUCCAAAAUAAUUUAAAAUAAAAAUAUCUUAUCAAACAAUACUUUCAAAUUUUAAUUCUUAAUAAUGACCAAAAUACCUUUAUGGGGC